GGUAAUCUGGCCAGUGGUAAGUCAGCGCUGGUCCACAGAUACCUGACGGGAACGUAUGUCCAGGAGGAGUCACCAGAGGCUGACGUGGAUGCAGGCGGGCGCUUUAAGAAGGAGAUUGUAGUGGACGGUCAGAGUCACCUGCUGCUCAUCAGAGAUGAAGGAGGCCCC